UACAGAGGGUGCGAGCGUUAAUCGGAAUUACUGGGCGUAAAGCGCGCGUAGGCGGCUUUGCAAGCCGGAUGUGAAAUCCCCGGGCUUAACCUGGGAACUGCAUUCGGGACUGCAUUGCUAGAGUAUGGGAGAGGGAAGUGGAAUUUCAGGUGUAGCGGUGAAAUGCGUAGAUAUCUGAAGGAACAUCAGUGGCGAAAGCGGGUCUCUGGGCCGAUACUGACGCUGAGGAGCGAAAGCGUGGGGAGCGAACAGG
rnacentral:rRNA from 1 species